CCGCAUUCUUCAAACCCCCCCGUUUGCUGCGUGUAGCUUUUGGGAUAAGCAAGAAUGCAAGAUCAACUCUAGAACUUUCAAAGUAGAGGGUCUUGUUGCAGUGGCUCUCUACUAUUUCACCUCUAGAACAUAU
ensembl:snoRNA